UACGAACGGUGCAAGCGUUACUCGGAAUCACUGGGCGUAAAGCGCACGUAGGCGGACUCGCAGGUCAAUUGUGAAAUACCUGGGCUCAACCCGGGAACUGCAGUUGAAACCGUUUGUCUUGAAUACCUGAGAGGGUGGGGGAAUACCUGGUGGAGAAGUGAAAUUCGUAGAGAUCAGGUGGAACACCGGAGGCGAAGGCGCCUGCCUGGCAGUGUAUUGACGCUGAGGUGCGAAAGUGCGGGGAGCAAACAGG
rnacentral:rRNA from 1 species